UGAUUAAGUAAAAUUUUAUUCGUUAUUCCCAUUAUUUGUUAUUUGCAUUAUUUAUUAUUUGCAUUAUUCGUUAUUCGUAUUAUUGGCUAUUAUUCGUUAUUUGCGAUUUUAUUACAUAAAAAUCUUGACACAGUGACAGAGUAGGUUUCACAGUGAUAACAAGUGGUUGAAUUUUAGUCUUUAAUUGUUGAGCUCUGUUUCUAAUUCUUUGGAUAUUGGGCACCAAAUCAUUUAUUAUCUGAACAGAAUAAUUUUAUAAGGAGAUUAACAUAAAUAUAAAAUAAAAUAAAAUCAAUAAAAAAUAAAUGAACAUUUUUUAUACAAUAUUAUCAUUAGUCAGAAUUAAAAAAUUUUAAAUAAUUUACUUUUACAUGAAGAAUGAAUGCAUCUAUUAUUUCUUGUGUAGAAGGCUUCCAUCUCUUUCUAUAAUUGUCACAGCAAUCAAUUUUGUUCUCUAUAAAAUCAAUAGUUUAAAAAAAUGUAAAACUAGAUUGCUUAGGGCGCGUUCCACUUAACAUUCGCAACGUAUCAUUUUAUUCUUGUUGUUUGUCAAAUCUUAAACAGACAGAUAGUGUUUUGGACUUUUGUGAGCUUUAAGUGAAACACGCUUUUAGUACCAAGAGAUUGGCUAUGUUUGGAUGUACAUUACGAUGUACAUUACAAAUUUCUCAUGUGCUUAUAAUGGCUAUAAUAAUGAUUUUUAAGGUUACAUAACUUUAAAAAUACAAAUCUGUCAAAGAUAUGGAUAUUGUGCUAUCUAGAACUAUACGCAACGUGAAUUAUAUCAGAACACAAUCAUUAUAAGCUAACAUACAACGUACCAAAUGAAUAGUAUAUAUCAGAAACUGAAUUCUCGUAAAUAUAUUAAACUAUACGAAUCUUUGAAGAUUUCAAUAUAUUCUUCAAAUCCCCAUUCACGGAAAGAAACGAAAAGAUAGUCGCACAUAUGGGCACACAAUCGUGAAACAUCAGGUCUCGAACACUGAAGCUAAGUUCAAAACGCGGGAGAAAGGACGCUCCAUCCAAAUAGUGUGGUUGUGAAUAUUAGAUUAUUUAGUUACAAUAACCAGAACUUCUGUUUAAUUUCACCAAUAUCUUUUUAACCAGACAUGUGUUAAUUCUAUCGUGUUUUUUUUCCUUAGUAGUUAUAAUAAUCAGACAAUUGGAUUUUAUUACUACGUAAGCAUUAACCAAAUUCUAAUCAAUAUCAUAACUAAAUGUUCUGGUUAUAUAACAAAAUACUUGAUUAUAAUAACCUGAAAUUCUGUUUUGACCAACCAAAAUUUAUUUAACCAAA